AUUUUUUUUAAAUCCCCACCAGUAAUAACCCCAUGGUGGGGCGUAUCUGUGGUGGGAGAAGAGAACACGGUACAGAUUUGGAAUUACACAUAUAGAACAACAACAGUCCAGGAUCAGCUGCUAUCGCUGUCAGUGGUGCUUUUCAGAUUUGGUUUAUUUUAUUUGGAGCGGGGUAGACAAAAAACUUCAAAAUGGACGCUAUCAAGAAGAAGAUGCAGGCGAUGAAGAUGGAGAAGGAUAGCGCCAUGGAUAAGGCCGACACUUGUGAAGGCCAGUCCAAGGAUGCUAACCUUCGUGCAGAUAAAGUGAACGAAGAUGUGAGAGAUUGUCAAAAGAAAUUGACUCAGGUAGAAAGUGAUUUGGACACUAACAAGAAUAAGUUGGAAGAAGCCAUCAAGCAGUUAGAGGAUAGAGAAAAGGCACUUACUGCGGCUGAAAGUGAAGUAGCUGCUUUAAACAGAAAAGUCCAGAUGAUUGAAGAAGACCUUGAAAGAUCCGAAGAAAGGUCUCAAGCUGCUGCAUCAAAAUUGGCUGAGGCUUCUCAAGCAGCUGACGAAUCUCAACGUAUGUGCAAAGUACUCGAAAACCGUAGCCAACAAGACGAAGAACGUAUGGACCAGUUGACUAACCAAUUAAAGGAAGCUCGUCUCUUAGCUGAAGAUGCUGAUGGAAAAUCUGAUGAAGUUUCGAGGAAACUUGCUUUUGUUGAAGAUGAACUUGAAGUAGCAGAGGAUCGUGUGAAAUCUGGUGACUCAAAAAUCAUGGAGCUGGAAGAAGAAUUGAAAGUUGUCGGAAACAGCUUGAAAUCGUUGGAAGUUUCUGAAGAAAAGGCCAAUCAACGAGUGGAAGAGUACAAGCAUCAAAUCAAACAACUUACUGUAAAAUUAAAGGAGGCUGAAGCUCGUGCUGAAUUUGCCGAGAAGACCGUUAAGAAAUUGCAGAAAGAAGUUGACAGACUUGAAGAUGAUCUCUUCAAAGAGAAAGAAAAAUCCAAAGAAAUCACGGAUGACUUGGAUUCUACAUUUGCUGAACUCACUGGCUACUAACCAAAUACAAAUUCUGCAUAGCCUUCAAUUGUUUUUUUCUUGUUUUUAUGUUCGAGUUUUGUCAUAAACCAAUGUAGCUUUUUGUAAAAAUAAUGCUUUUUUCAUUUUAUUUUUUCAUUUUAUUUGCUUUUUUGUUGUUUUAAUAUGUUGUGUCUCCAGUUGUUGCUGUACAAAUUCGCUUCUAUAACUGCCAGAUGAACUCGGCCUCAACAAAGACAGAUAUAAGUCUUUGGCUGAUGAGAUGGAUUCCACUUUUGCUGAAUUGGCUGGAUAUUAACCUUCUAGACUUGGCCACAUUUUCGAAGGAAUUUACAUUUAAAGUAAAUAAUUACCCAAUGUUUUUAUCAAAUAAUAUUACCAUCAUAUAAAUUCUAUUAAUAAAUCAAAAGAAAGUUACAUUAAA